AAAUUGAAGAGUUUGAUCAUGGCUCAGAUUGAACGCUGGCGGCAGGCCUAACACAUGCAAGUCGAGCGGAAACGACAACAUUGAAUCUUCGGAGGAUUUGUUGGGCGUCGAGCGGCGGACGGGUGAGUAAUGCCUAGGAAAUUGCCUUGAUGUGGGGGAUAACCAUUGGAAACGAUGGCUAAUACCGCAUAAUGCCUACGGGCCAAAGAGGGGGAYCUUCGGRCCUCUCGCGUCAAGAUAUGCCUAGGUGGGAUUAGCUAGUUGGUGAGGUAAUGGCUCACCAAGGCGACGAUCCCUAGCUGGUCUGAGAGGAUGAUCAGCCACACUGGAACUGAGACACGGUCCAGACUCCUACGGGAGGCAGCAGUGGGGAAUAUUGCACAAUGGGCGAAAGCCUGA
rnacentral:rRNA from 1 species